GAUGAACGCUAGCUACAGGCUUAACACAUGCAAGUCGAGGGGCAGCGCAGUGUAGCAAUACAUGGGCGGCGACCGGCGCACGGGUGCGUAACGCGUAUCCAACCUUCCCGUUACUCAGGGAUAGCCUUCCGAAAGGGAGAUUAAUACCUGAUGGUAUUCAAAUUUCGCAUGUUAUUUGAAUUAAAGAUUUAUCGGUAACGGAUGGGGAUGCGUGACAUUAGGUAGAUGGCGGGGUAACGGCCCACCAUGCCUACGAUGUCUAGGGGUUCUGAGAGGAAGGUCCCCCACACUGGUACUGAGACACGGACCAGACUCCUACGGGAGGCAGCAGUGAGGAAUAUUGGUCAAUGGGCGGAAGCCUGAACCAGCCAAGUAGCGUGAAGGAUUACUGCCCUACGGGUUUUAAACUUCUUUUAUGCGAGAGUAAUGUGCGCUACGUGUAGCGUAUUGCAAGUAUCGCAUGAAUAAGCAUCGGCUAACUCCGUGCCAGCAG
rnacentral:rRNA from 1 species